AACGAACGCUGGCGGCGUGUUUAAGACAUGCAAGUCGCACGGUGUCAUUUUGGUAGCAAUACUUGGAUGGCACAGUGGCGCACGGGUGAGUAACACGUGAAUGACAUGCCCUUCAGAGGGGGAUAGCCCAGGGAAACUUGGAUUAAUACCCCAUGGUCUCGCAAGAGUAAAGGUGGCCGCAAGGCUGUCGCUGGAGGAUUGGGUCGCGUUCUAUCAGCUUGUUGGCGGGGUAACGGCCCACCAAGGCUACGACGGAUACCUGGUCUGAGAGGACGAUCAGGCACACUGGAACUGAGACACGGUCCAGACACCUACGGGUGGCAGCAGUCGAGAAUAAUUCACAAUGGGGGCAACCCUGAUGGUGCAACGCCGCGUGGAGGAUGAAGGUCUUCGGAUUGUAAACUCCUGUCAUCCGGGAGCAAGACCUGACGGUGAACAGCCGGCAGGGUUGAUAGUACCGGAAGAGGAAGGGACGGCUAACUUCGUGCCAGCCGCCGCUGUAACAC
rnacentral:rRNA from 1 species